GCGGCCGGGGGGAGCGGGGCCGGGGCGGGGCCCGGCCCGGGGCCCGGUGCUCGAUGCCCGGGGCCCGGUGCUCGAUGCCCGGGGCCCGGUGCUCGAUGCCCGGGGCCCGGUGCUCGAUGCCCGGGGCCCGGUGCUCGAUGCCCGGGGCCCGGUGCUCGAUGCCCGGGGCCCGGUGCUCGAUGCCCGGGGCCCGGUGCUCGAUGCCCGGGGCCCGGUGCUCGAUGCCCGGGGCCCGGUGCUCGAUGCCCGGGGCCGCCCGGCCGUUGCGGGUCGGUGCGAGCAGUCCCAGGACUGCUGCAAAGGGCCGGCCCAGCCCGGCGGAAUUGCGGAGCGGGCGGUGCGGGACCCUUCCCGCGCCCGGCUCGGACCGCACGGGGCAGAGGCGCGGCGGGGCCGGACAUCCCUGCGGGCGCCCCGAUGGCCCCGCCGGAGGCCGGGAUCUGCCGGGAUCGGGUUAUGAACCUUUCUGCAGCAGGAUUUGAAUUAGCCAGAUUCCAGCUCAGAUCAAAGUCUCUAGGAUUCACUUGUGAUUUCCGGGGGUCAGCAAAUGUAUAAGACAGGUACACUCACCCUUCUGACUGACAACACUCCCAGAGAGUCACUCUCCAGCCCCGGGAGCACGGCUGUGGUGUGGGGUGAGUGAUGCAGAGGAGUCACUGGUUCUGGGUGUUGCUGGUAUCACAUGAACUCUGCCGUGGGGGAGGAAGGACCUGGGCUUUUGAUUUCUGAAAGAUAUUGCUCUGAUAAAUAAAGAAAAAAUUUAACUAUUGCAGGAAAGUGUGGGGAUUUGCUCUUUGGCAUUCUGGAUGAGAACUUCUGGUACUGAAGCCCUAGAGUCUGCGUUGGAAUGAGUAACAUGCGGAGAUCUGACACUUACGACAAACUCAGCCUGGAGUGGUUUAAGACGUGUUCGUGUAGGGAUUUUCUGGCAGUGCCGUGGGGUCAGAGCUGUGUUAUUGUGCCCUGUUACACGUCACAAGAACGGCCAAUGCCUUCCUUCAUGCUCACAAGACUUAAUGGGGUCAACUUUCACCUGGUUGGAGCCUGUCAAGGUCACCAAAUGGAGUCCAUUCUGCCAUUGGAAAAUUGUUCAUUUUCGUGGAUAGGUCAGAGUUAAUGUUGUGUGGCAGUGAGAGUGUGGUUCAGUGCGGGGUCAGUGAGGUGCUGACGGGCACUCCGGGGCUGCUGGCCAUGACCUUGGCACAGACUGCCUGGUGCCAAAGCACAGCUCUAAUAUCUCCUAUACUCUGCAGCAGUAUCAAGAAAUACAAAUAUACAGGACUUGGGCAAAUCCAAAAAUCCACAAAAUGCUUUUUGCUCUCUUUAACAGAGUCACAUCAAUGUUUCUUUAAUGUAAAAUUUCCAUAGGGCUUUGCUGGUUCCACAGUGAAGUGCAUUCCAAGCAGUAACUGCAAUAACAAGUAAAUAGAAUUAGAAGGCAUGGGGGCAGAGCUGGGCUCCUGCUCUCCUGCAGUAAAGGCACUGCUGGCUGUGGCUCUGGAGAUUGGCACUGAUGCACUUGCACUGCACAACCAUCACUUUCUCAAAUAGAUAUGUCACUUAUGUUUUCCUUAAUUAAAAUUUCAGCUAUUCCUGCCUCUUCACAUGUCUCUCUGCACAUAGUCUGACCGUGGUUGCUGCCAUGUUUGGAGCUGUGUGGUGGCUUUUGUCAGAACCCAGGAAUGCAGCCUCAGGAACAGAACCCUGCAGAGGCAAACUUGGCAGAACCUGGGCAGUGUCUGGAGCAGCAGUUAGGAAUCUGGGACUGGGAGCUGACCACACUGUUAUUGACUGGUCUUGCAUUCCCAGGAGGGCAAAUCAGGGCUUUGAUUGCCAGGUUUGCAGUUUAAAAAAAGCCUUUGCUUUAAUGAAUGUACAGCCUAAGUGUCAUUGUUCUCUUCUCCAUUCUGGGUUGUUUUCCAGAAAACAAGACCAGUUUAGGAAAUUUAAAUCUGUCCUAAAAAAGAAAUUUUAUCUAGAGAAGUCCCUCUGUGCUUCCAUUCUUAGAAUAAACCAAAUUUAUUUACUUCUGUAGUUGAAAUUGUAUUACUAAAGAACAUGAAUUUUCUUUAAUGUUGUUUGAUGGUUUUUGUCUGGUUUUGAAUGGAAGUUGAGACUAUGUGACCACCUUGUAGCUGUAACACUUGUUAGUUCAUUUAAAUUAAUAUUUUAGUUCCUUAUUUAUUAUCCCGAAGUUUAUUGGUUUGUUAGGAAUAAUACCCAAAUGUGUGAUGCUGAGAAGGGUAAAGCUGCAGCGUGGAAUCCUUGUCACAGGAGAAACGCACCAGGGGCAGCCACGGACGGGCAGGUUCCCCAGCACUCCAGUGGUCUGUCUGUGUGUCUAUUUGUGUGUCUCAUGAUUUUCAGGUUAUUUUUCAUAUCCUGAUGCAACUGAAAAGCCAGCCUUUUUUUUGAAAAGUGUAGAAUCUAAUGAGCAGUGUGUUUGAAAACCUCAGCCCUUCCCAGGACUCAGGUGAGUGAUACAAACAUGGCACAAGCAGGUGACACGUGGAGAUGGGCGUCUUGGAAAGAAAACAUCAAAGGAAUCACACAGUGAUCAGGGGUGGGCAAUUCACAGGGCCAGCGAGCUGGAGACUUGUGCAAAGCCACCCUGUUCUUCAUUUGGUGCCAGAGAGCUUCAGUUCAUGAAGAAAGUAGCUGGAAAAUUUACCCAGAAAUAGAUGACCUUUCAAAAGGCCUCUAAUAUACAAUUACCUGAUGUUCACUGAAGUGUUUCACAUGCUUCCCACCCUAAAUGAUUUUCUAGGUUCACCCAUGUGUGAAAAGGGGUCUGAUUUUAUGGAGGAGGGCAAUGGAGGAAAGAAACUCCAGAAAGGAGAGAAAUACGCCAGGGAAUUUUACUGGUUGUUUGCUUCAAGGGAAGGAAAGGGCAAAUAGAUGCAGCCACCUCAAAGUCACCUUUUGACUUUGAACUUUAAAAGAAAGGAACAUGGAAGAAUUCUGAGAUAUUGACAGCACUUGACAGAAGCUAUUCUAUGAAGAUAGGUAGGAAAUUUAGGAUCCAGUGGAAUUUGCUUUCUUAGCCAGAUGACAAGUUCUUUUUUCUUUUUUGCAGUACAACAAAAUUAUUACAACCCCUAUUUUCCUUACUGCCUUUUCUUUCCUUCUGCCCUGGGUCAUCUGGUACAAGAGAUCUUUUGCCUGCGUGGCCACCAGUGCUCAGACCAGGGGCUGGCCAUGUUCCCUCUGCAGAGUUUCAGCUCUGAUCCUGGACCAAAGGAAGCGAGUUAUCUGGGGCUGCAGUCUGGUGGGCUUUAGGCAAAAUACUUUCCUAAGAAAAUGAUUUCUAUGGCUGGCACAAAAGUGCUUCUCCUGUGCACCUUUCCAGUGGCAGCUGUGCCCAGGUGCACACAGCAGCCUUCAAUAGUUCAGUGUUCUCUUCACUGCCCCUGCUCUGAGCCACACGGGGAGAAGAGGGGCAGAGACCACCCCCACGUGGGAAAGCAGCAGCAUUCAAAAACCCAGAGACUUUUUGAAACCAGGGAAUGGGAUUUCCAUAUAUGAUGAGAGAGCACUCUGGGCAAUAGAAACUGUAUUUGUAUGGAAGAAAAUUAUUUUAAAUAAACUUGAAAUGUAAAGAUUUUCAUGAACAAAAGCAAGGUGACAGUCCCCUCCCCCAUCUGCAUUAUCUGACAAAACAAAGUCCUUGAGACAGGUCAGACAGCCAAGACCAUCAAUGUGGCAGUUGUAGCACUGAAAUACUUUUCAUUUGGUCAAGUAUCUAAGUAUCUUUGUGGGGAAAAAACACCAAAGUUUACCUUUGGAUCCAAAACAUUAGACUUGUGAUUCCACAGAAUUUUGUGACUUUGGAAAUGUUCUAUUGUUUUUCAGUAUGAGCUCAUGAACCUCGAAUAAAAUUGUCCUUUGGGGACAAAAGAAAAUAGAGGAAAAAUAAAUGCUCAUGUCAGGUCUGGAGACCAAGGGGUUCCUGAGCCAUGGUCUUUAUUAUGUUUCUUUUCCAUCAAGUUCAGGAGUGACUUUGAGCGGAUUUGCUGCAGUUGAGGGAGACAGAAAAAAAUCGUAUUAAAAAUAAAAAAAAAACUGAAUACGACUUUUCAAAAAUCCAUUUAUUUUCCUGUAUAAGACAUACAGAUCCAAAAGUGAAUGGUGAGUCAGGAGUGCACAUGGUUCCAGCAGCAGCUUUCAGGCUCUUCUGACUGUGGCUCUGCUGGAUGGCGGGUCAGCUUGAGCUCUCAGCAGCAGAAAUGUGGGAUGAUGCAGAGCUCCUCAGGCUCCUGCCUCCUCCUUUUGGAGGCCACACAGCAUGCACAUGUUGUGUUCCUGAAUUCAUGCCUCUUCUGGCAAUUUGUUUGCCUGAGCCUUUAAGCUUCUGUGUUCACCCCCAGGGCCCAGAGCUCUGCCAAGCUGCCAGCAGCAUGCUGAGACCAUGGGCAGGUGCCUCAGCUUCCCACAGGGACUGCGCCCACGCCCUGCCGGCUGAUCCCAAAGGAGCUGAGGAGCUGCCACGAGGGUGCCAGGAG